CUAGUGUAGAAAACUGAGACUGCACUAAAAAAGGCUAAAAUAAUAUGAAGCUAAAGUAUUAUAUUUUCAGAAACCCUUCAGUGAAGAUUUCCUUUAUAAUAACUAAUUUCAUCCUUUCUUCUUAUAUGUGACAUAUUUUCAACCAAUACACAUGAGUCACGUUGUUCACAAGAUCUGUUUUCCUAGCUUUGGCUGUGCUGCAAGAUUGUUGAGAGGAUGCCAAGGCUGUGGCAGCUGCGACGCAUUCUUUGUCUCUGUACCAGGACGGACUGACCAGGAGCAGGAUGUCUUGCACCCACAGCACCAGACCUGCACGCAGAAAAUAUCUGUAGGCAACUUUUAUAUAAAACAUGAUGUGCAUGAGCAAUGUUAUGAUCUGCUACAUGAUGCUGAUGGCAGAAAGAACCUUCCUCUCAGGACUCAUGGAAUCACACCUACAGGAUAGCAGGACAUGUCCAGAAUGAGGAGAGCAGGACUUCAUCCUGCUUUAAAUUCAGAUCUCAAUGUCUGCUGUUACUGUCAGUGGACUUGACUGUCUAGAAAGUUUUACUAUGUAUGUGAUGUAUUUUUUCCAGGUUUUCUUAUAACCCUAGUUAUUUGUGAUUUUCACUUUUACUCUAUCUCCGUCUCUCUCUGUGUCUUAUUUGAUAAAAAGACAUCUCUAGCAUAAUUUGCCUCUUUAAUGAUAGCAUGGAAAAGUUAAAAAGUGUUCUUGAAUACUACUGAUAAGGACUGCAGGACAAUGAGAGGUGCUUAAAACGGUCCAUGUGGGCCAAAGCUUUGUUUGCUGGCAAAAAAAUUGAAGUGGAACGGUUAUUUUGUAUUUAAGAAUUGCAUUUGGGUAUUUUUCAUUUUUUCCCACGACAAGAAAAGGUUGGAUAAUACAAGGAGCUCAGUGCUGCUCCUUGCUGAAAAAAGUAAUAAACAAACAUAUGAUAAUUGCA
ensembl:lncRNA